rnacentral:rRNA from 1 species
AUUGAACGCUGGCGGCAGGCCUAACACAUGCAAGUCGAACGGUAACAGGAAGAAGCUUGCUUCUUUGCUGACGAGUGACGGACGGGUGAGUAAUGUCUGGGAAACUGCCUGAUGGAGGGGGAUAACUACUGGAAACGGUAGCUAAUACCGCAUAACGUCGCAAGACCAAAGAGGGGGACCUUCGGGCCUCUUGCCAUCGGAUGUGCCCAGAUGGGAUUAGCUAGUAGGUGGGGUAACGGCUCACCUAGGCGACGAUCCCUAGCUGGUCUGAGAGGAUGACCAGCCACACUGGAACUGAGACACGGUCCAGACUCCUACGGGAGGCAGCAGUGGGGAAUAUUGCACAAUGGGCGCAAGCCUGAUGCAGCCAUGCCGCGUGUAUGAAGAAGGCCUUCGGGUUGUAAAGUACUUUCAGCGGGGAGGAAGGGAGUAAAGUUAAUACCUUUGCUCAUUGACGUUACCCGCAGAAGAAGCACCGGCUAACUCCGUG